rnacentral:rRNA from 1 species
CACUGAACAUUGAGCCUUGAUGUGUAGGAUAGGUGGGAGGCUUUGAAGUGUGGACGCCAGUCUGCAUGGAGCCGACCUUGAAAUACCACCCUUUAAUGUUUGAUGUUCUAACGUGGACCCGUAAUCCGGGUUGCGGACAGUGUCUGGUGGGUAGUUUGACUGGGGCGGUCUCCUCCUAAAGAGUAACGGAGGAGCACGAAGGUUGGCUAAUCCUGGUCGGACAUCAGGAGGUUAGUGCAAUGGCAUAAGCCAGCUUGACUGCGAGCGUGACGGCGCGAGCAGGUGCGAAAGCAGGUCAUAGUGAUCCGGUGGUUCUGAAUGGAAGGGCCAUCGCUCAACGGAUAAAAGGUACUCCGGGGAUAACAGGCUGAUACCGCCCAAGAGUUCAUAUCGACGGCGGUGUUUGGCACCUCGAUGUCGGCUCAUCACAUCCUGGGGCUGAAGUAGGUCCCAAGGGUAUGGCUGUUCGCCAUUUAAAGUGGUACGCGAGCUGGGUUUAGAACGUCGUGAGACAGUUCGGUCCCUAUCUGCCGUGGGCGCUGGAGAACUGAGGGGGGCUGCUCCUAGUACGAGAGGACCGGAGUGGACGCAUCACUGGUGUUCGGGUUGUCAUGCCAAUGGCACUGCCCGGUAGCUAAAUGCGGAAGAGAUAAGUGCUGAAAGCAUCUAAGCACGAAACUUGCCCCGAGAUGAGUUCUCCCUGACUCCUUGAGAGUCCUGAAGGAACGUUGAAGACGACGACGUUGAUAGGCCGGGUGUGUAAGCGCAGCGAUGCGUUGAGCUAACCGGUACUAAUGAACCGUGAGG